AACGAACGCUGGCGGCAUGCCUAACACAUGCAAGUCGAACGAGACCUUCGGGCUUAGUGGCGCAUGGGUGCGUAACGCGUUGGAACCUGCCUUUAGGUUCGGAAUAUCUUCCCGAAUGGGGUGCUAAUACCGGAUAAUGUCUUCGGUCCAAAGAUUGAUCGCGUUUGGAUGGGCCCGCGUUGGAUUAGCUAGUUGGUAGGGUAAAAGCCUACCAAGGCUAGGAUACAUAGCUGGUCUGAGAGGAUGAUCAGCGACACUGGGACUGAGACACGGUGCAGACUACUACGGGAGGCAGGAGAGGGGGAUAUUGGAAAGUGGGGGGAGGCCUGAUGGAGCAAUGCCGGGAGAGUGAUGAAGGCCUUGGGGUUGUAAAGUACUUUUACACGGGAUGAUAAUGACAGUACCGGGAGAAUAAGCUCCGGCUAACUCCGUG
rnacentral:rRNA from 1 species